rnacentral:lncRNA from 1 species
ACAUAAGUCUGCUACAGCUAACAAAACAGAUAUGAAAACAGCAUCUUUGGACCUUGAAACUAGAAAUGAUGGUAUGGAAAUAUUAAUUGCUCCUGUUGAAUAAUCACAUGUGAUCUGAAACACUGGUGUGGGUGAAUGGAACCUCUGCUUGUACUUUAAGUCUGUAUAGAUCCAUUUCCCAAGUGAUGAUGAUGAUGAUGAUGAUGAUGAUUUUGUGGUUGACUCUGAUCCUAAAAUCAAUAGGACAUCUGUCUAAGUAAAGCCUGGGAUGCUACAACAUUAGAGAACUUCUCUGAAGGUACUUGAGAAGAGGUUGGCUAUACCCCUUUCUGAGAUGGCUUAGAUCUGAAAAGCCCAUCUCAAAUGAGUCAGACCCGCUGGUGUCCAUCUAGCUCAGCAAAUUCUGCACUGACAGUGACUCUCCAGAAUUUCAGUCCUGCCCGCAGAUGCCAGGGAUUGAACCUGUGAUCUUUUGCAUGCAAGCAGAUGCUCUGCCACUGCCUUUCCCCCAAAGGUGUUUUCUUCCUCUGCUUGUUCAAGAAGGCUUGCAGCAGCUUAGCACCAACAUUUAAGAAUCAUGAACUCACUCCUAGGACUGCCAAGCCAAAUGUAGUUAAAUGAUUACUGGACCCAAGGCAAAAGGGGGUUGGCAUUAGGCUAGUGUGGGUGAAUUAAGGGAUUUCUUGCAUUUUUGUAAGCAGCUAGCUAUUCUGUGAAGAGAUGUUGUAUUAAAUAUGUGUUUCACUGUAGGUUUCCAAUGCAAGAUCUUGAGAACAUGCAGAGCCUUAUGCUUUCCAAGCAAAUAAUAAUAAUCUUUAGCUCCAUUUUAUUGUUUAUCAGAACCAGCUUAUGGCUUUGUCUCAGAACAAUUCUGAAAACACAAUUCAAAGCUUUGAAUGGUUAAUUUACAGUGGACUGAAGCUUCACAUAUCUGACGAAUGCAGGGUAAGAAGUGCUCAGAGUAUAGCUAUUCUCUUCCGUAAGGGCUCUACAGACAUAUCCAGAUCUACCACAUAGGAACAAAUAUUGUUUGAAAGCAUCAAUACUUUACAAAGGAGGCAUCUGUCAGCAUUAACACUGAUUGUAAGACGCUAAAACUUUAGGAGUCACACUAUCUCAGCAGAUACAACCUUUCUAUUACCAUACCACUAUAGAAUACAAUUUUGAAUUCAUACACUAUACCGCUAUGCCAGGCCCCACUUGAGAUCUUCAUUCUUCCCGGAAAAAAUCUUAGUGUUUCCAGAGCACUUAGCUAUUUGUUUGCCAAAUAGCAUUGUCUCAUUCUUUGAUUAGUAUUAUUGUUCUGAAGAAACAUAUAAUAUGGGAAACUGUAAUUGUUUUCAUAGAAUGAUUCACUUCUCUGUGCAGAAAUUAUGUUGUGUCCUAUUGGUAACUGUGUGCAUCACAUCCUUCAAACACCAGAAGGAUAUUGUCUCUGUAGUAACUGCAUGAUUGUUGUUAAUUGCUGUUUUCCUGCAGUUACAACUAUAGCAAUUGCAAUUGCUUAACGUGCAAAAGCAUUACUGGGGAAGAAUGCAGUUUACAUUUAUCUUCAUUAAUAGAAUCCAGUAUUUGGAAAUGAGGAGCAACCAUCAUGCUGUGUUCAUUUGUUCCUUUGGGGCGUAUGAACAUCUGCUUACUAUGCUGUCCUAUAGAGACAAUUAUUCCACCAUCACAAUUUCCAUGAUGUUAUGUGGCAGAAAAAUGCAGCACGUAAGAUGUUUGAAGUUAUUUAAUCUUUCCAUUCUUCGAGGAAGAAGUCUGGUACCCAGAAUUCAGUUAUGACUUCAGAAGGAACAAUUGUCUCUGUGUGCCUAAUUGACUACUUUUAACAUGCUUCUGAAAGGUAUGAAUAGGAUAACAUACAAUACGUAAAGAUAACAGCAGAGAAUAUCAGGGGUC